rnacentral:lncRNA from 1 species
UCAGAUCUGAAAACAGGAAAGCCCCCGUGCAGGGACUUCACAAAAGGUAAGCUCUGGAGGUGGCAGAAAUUUUGUGAAAUUAUUCUGGGGAAACUGUUUCCCUCUCACUGCAAAGGAGAGGAGAAUCUACCUCUGAGUCAGCGAGGGUUUGAUAUUGAGAAGGGAUUUUAAGGGUUUUCAAGUGUCUUUAUGUUUGGGUUUGCCCUUAAUUCUUUUCCUUCACUUCGACAGCAUUGCGGGACGAGGAUGGCCGCACUCCAGCUUUCUGUCGGCUGUGGUCACAGAGUAAUUGUUAAGAACAGUGCUCCCUUUGACUUCCAAAAGUGUCUCAGUUUACACAACAAUGGGUAUGUGUAUUCUGUGCAAGACCUAUCCAAAUAGCGGUGACUCGGGUUUUAAUAAAGAUCUGUAUACAGCCAUACGAAUAGAAUCGCUCCUUAGUUACCUACCAAGAAUGGCAUCUGUUUUGUUUUUGGUUUUUUUCUUUGUUUAAAAAGUUUGUUUUCUUUUUAUUGAGGUAUAAUUGCCAUGCAACACUGUAUUAUUAUACCUGAAGCUAACACAAUAUUGCAUGUUUUGGGUUUUUUUUAAUUUUUUUAAUGUUUUAUUUAUUUUUGAGAGAGAGAGACAGAGCAUGAGCGGGGGGGGACACAGAAUCUGAAGCAGGCUCCAGGCUCCGAGCUGUCAGCACAGAGUCCGACACAGGACUCGAACCCAUGGGCCACAAGACCAUGACCUGAUCCGAAGUCAGUCGCUUAACCAGCUGAGCCACCCAGGCACCCCUGCGUGUUUUGGUUUUUGAGGAACUUCCCACUUGAGAGGUUGUAGGUGACUUCUGGUCUACCUGACACCCCCUGUACCUUAUAUGUUUCCCUUCUCCAGGAGUUAGCUGGGCCCCUUGGGUUCCUCUUAAAAAUGAAUGUUUUAUUUAAGAAAAUACUAGUUUCUUGCAUAUCUGUGUUCCUAUUUAUGACUGCAUAACACGCCUACCCGCUAGGAAAUUCUAAGCAGUCAUAUCAAAUGUAACCCUAUAACCAUGUCUUAUUUUUCUCUCUAUCACCAGAGCCUCGUCCAGCAGCACUUUGAAGAAAUGAGACAACCCUGAUUGAACGGAACUGAAUUUGUUGUGUUACUAACAGAGCUGAUAGAGUAGUCCAUUAUUAGGGUUUAUCUAUCUAUCGUUUCUGUGUCUGCGGUUUUCCAGUCAACAUCUUAAGAAGAAAUAUUGUUUUGGUGGGGAUUUUUAUUUGCUUUUUAAUUUCCCUCUUAUUUCUUCAUCGUACUUAGGGUCAGCAUAGAACAGAUGCAUCCAUCAUCUGAGUCACUGGGCUGGAUGCUGGUAAAGAUAAAAAAAAAAUCAUUAACACAGAGACGCCGCCUUUGAGUGAUAGUGUAGUACAGAAGAUCAAACAUAUACACGGCACGUUUCUGGUUUGUCGGGCAUAAUCUUGGUAACCUACGUGCGUCUGCAUUUUCUACUUGUUACCUGUGUCUCCUUUCUUUGCUUCUCUACGUGAGCUUGAGGGGUGUUUGGCGGCAGGAUGGAGUGCUAAUUUCAUUGAGGAAGACGUAUCAGUGAGGAUCUGAGCCCGUUCCUAGAAAGGCCUACAGACACUCGUGAAAAGGACUCUCGUCCCUCAGGACAAGACAAUCCCUGCAUGGCAAGUGCUAGGUGAACACCAUGGAGUCUUAAAGGGAAAAGAGGUGAGAUGGGCUCUGGAGGGACAAGGAGAGGUCUUUUGCAGGAAGUGAGGGUGAACCGGGUCUUGCGAUGAGCAGGAGGAUGGCUCUUCCAGAAAAGACCACGCUAUACAGACAGAGCUUGGGCCUUGGAAGAAGUUCUGGGACCCCAGAUGGGGCACAAAAGCAGCAGCGUGAUUCCAUUGCCGCGGAUUAGAGGAGACAGUCACGUGGACACAACUGGGGGGAUGUCCCAAUGGUGGCCGCAUGGAACAGCAGAUGCCAGUGUGAACCGAGCACUGGAUGGACCCUUGCUCCCACGCGAUGGCUUUCCCAUAUCUCCUCAAGCCAGACUAAACCCUAGGAUGAUAAUGGCGGUGGGGAGAGAAGACUCCAAGUUGGCUGAGAAGACACUGCCCCAUCCUAGCAA